CAGUAGCCGCGGUAAUACGUAGGGUGCAAGCGUUAAUCGGAAUUACUGGGCGUAAAGAGCUCGUAGGCGGUCUGUCGCGUCUGGUGUGAAAUCCCGAGGCUCAACCUCGGGCUUGCAUCGGGUACGGGCAGACUAGAGUGCGGUAGGGGAGACUGGAAUUCCUGGUGUAGCGGUGGAAUGCGCAGAUAUCAGGAGGAACACCGAUGGCGAAGGCAGGUCUCUGGGCCGCAACUGACGCUGAGGAGCGAAAGCAUGGGGAGCGAACAGGAUUAGAUACCCCCGUAGUCCCUGUCUCUUAUAC
rnacentral:rRNA from 1 species